rnacentral:rRNA from 1 species
GAUUGCAGGCUGCAACUCGCCUGCAUGAAGUCGGAAUUGCUAGUAAUCGCAGAUCAGCAUGCUGCGGUGAAUACGUUCCCGGGCCUUGUACACACCGCCCGUCACACCAUGGGAGUCGGUAACACCCGAAGUCGGUAGCCUAACCGUAAGGAGGGCGCCGCCGAAGGUGGGAUUGAUGACUGGGGUGAAGUCGUAACAAGGUAUC